GAGACUCUGUGCGCGUGCAUAUCAAUAAGCGGAGGAAAAGAAACUAACAAGGAUUCCCUAGUAACGGCGAGUGAAGCGGGAAGAGCUCAAAUUUGAAAUCUUAAAGGUUUUCCCUUGACGAAUUGUAGUUUAAAGAAGUGUUUUCUGUUGGAGUUUCGGUAAAAGUUCUUUGGAAUAGGACAUCAUAGAGGGUGAGAAUCCCGUAUUUGACCAUUACUUUCCAGCUGUGUGAUACACUUUCAAAGAGUCGGAUUGUUUGGGAAUGCAGUCCAAAAUGGGUGGUAAAUUUCAUCUAAAGCUAAAUAUUGGCGAGAGACCGAUAGCGAACAAGUACCGUGAGGGAAAGAUGAAAAGAACUUUGAAAAGAGAGUUAAACAGUACGUGAAAUUGUCAAAAGGGAAGCGUUUGACACCAGUGUUGUUUAGUUGAAAAUCAAUUCAAUAAUUUUUGAUUUUGAGUAGUAUUGACUUCAUCAGCUUGCUGCUUUCUUUUCAGAAAUUAUUGAAUGCACUUUUCAGUUAACAAGUCAACAUCAAUUUCUUUUGUUGUAAAAGGGUAAGAGGAAGGUGGCUUACGCUUCGGCGUAAGUGUUUAUAGCCUUUUACCUCUGCAAUCGGAGAGAUUGAGGACAGCAGCGUAGACUCUUCGGGGUUAGAUACACUUGUGCUAAGCUAUAGCCUUGUAUAGACAACUUGUUGACUAUGCUCAGUCAUGUAGCUUACUCGCUUGUGCUAUUUUACCUACGCUUAGGAUGUUGACGAUCAGCUGAGCGCG
rnacentral:rRNA from 1 species